rnacentral:rRNA from 1 species
GAUGAACGCUGGCGGCGUGCCUAAUACAUGCAAGUCGAGCGAACAGACGAGGAGCUUGCUCCUCUGACGUUAGCGGCGGACGGGUGAGUAACACGUGGAUAACCUACCUAUAAGACUGGGAUAACUUCGGGAAACCGGAGCUAAUACCGGAUAACAUGUUGAACCGCAUGGUUCAACAGUGAAAGACGGUCUUGCUGUCACUUAUAGAUGGAUCCGCGCCGCAUUAGCUAGUUGGUAAGGUAACGGCUUACCAAGGCAACGAUGCGUAGCCGACCUGAGAGGGGGGAUCGCCCCACCGGGACCGGGACACCGCCCCGGCCCCCUAGGGGGGGCACCGGUGGGAAUUUUGCCGAAUGGGGGGAAAGCCUGACGGGGCAACGCCGGGGGGGGGAAAAGGGUCUUCGGCUCGAAAAACUUUUUUAUUGGGGAAAAACAAAUGUGGAAGAAACUUUCCCGGUUUUGCGGGUACCUAAUCAAAAAGCCCCGGCAAACUCGGU